rnacentral:rRNA from 1 species
UGCAGUCGAGCGGAGUAGCAUACUCAGUGGCGGACGGGUGAGGAACACAUAGGAACCUGCCUUUAGGUGGGGGAUAGCUAGGGGAAACCCUGGGUAAUACCGCAUGAUCUCGAAAGAGCAAAGGGGCGCAAGUCCCGCCUUUAGAGGGGCCUAUGUCUGAUUAGCUAGUUGGCGGUGUAAUGGACUACCAAGGCAAUGAUCAGUAACUGGUCUGAGAGGACGAUCAGUCACACCGGAACUGAGACACGGUCCGGACUCCUACGGGAGGCAGCAGUGGGGAAUAUUGGACAAUGGGCGAAAGCCUGAUCCAGCAAUUCCGCGUGUGUGAAGAAGGCCUUCGGGUUGUAAAGCACUUUAGUUGGGGAAGAAACAGCUUGGCCACACCAAGCCUUGACGGUACCCAAAGAAUAAGCACCGGCUAACUCUGUGCCAGCAGCCGCGGUAAUACAGAGGGUGCAAGCGUUAAUCGGAUUUACUGGGCGUAAAGGGUGCGUAGGUGGCUGCAUAAGUCGGAUGUGAAAGCCCGGGGCUCAACCUCGGAAUUGCAUUCGAUACUGUGUAGCUAGAGUUCGGUAGAGGGCGGCGGAAUUUCCGGUGUAGCGGUGAAAUGCGUAGAUAUCGGAAGGAACAUCAAUGGCGAAGGCAGCCGCCUGGGCCUGAACUGACACUGAGGCACGAAAGCGUGGGUAGCAAACAGGAUUAGAUACCCUGGUAGUCCACGCCGUANACGAUGAGAACUUGACGUUGGUUCGUUUUACGAAUCGGUGCCGAAGCUAACGCGCUAAGUUCUCCGCCUGGGGAGUACGGCCGCAAGGUUGAAACACAAAGGAAUUUGACGGGGCCCGCACAAGCGGUGGAGUAUGUGGUUUAAUUCGAUGCAACGCGA